ensembl:lncRNA
ACUUCCCUUAGGUCACCCCGGGGAUGCUGGCGCCCACCCAGCUUAGCUGGCUGAGCGCAGACAGAUGCGGCUGACUCCAAGUCCCUGGAAAACAGCUCGGGCCAAUGUCUUGUCUAGGUUCCGAGCCCCUUGGAGGACAAGCAGAUCUUAAAACAACCUUGAUUAGUGCUGACAGGGGACAGAGACCAAGCGCUAAUAUCUGCACAGAGCAGCAAUUGAGGCCACCCUGGUCACAGGACUGCGGCCUGAGUACACCCUGACAGAGUAACCAUCCAUUUUAGGCCACCGUGGUGGAAAAGGAAGGAAAGUGUUUUUUGGAGCUUGCUGACUAAGGACAGAGCCUCCUUCUUCAGACAACUUCUCACUGACUCCCUUGGAUUCAUUCUGUAUACUUACUCCCAACGUGGCCCCUCAAAGUCCUUACCUCUUUUUU